rnacentral:rRNA from 1 species
GACGAACGCUGGCGGCGUGCUUAACACAUGCAAGUCGAACGGAAAGGCCCUGCUUUUGUGGGGUGCUCGAGUGGCGAACGGGUGAGUAACACGUGAGUAACCUGCCCUUGACUUUGGGAUAACUUCAGGAAACUGGGGCUAAUACCGGAUAGGAGCUCCUGCUGCAUGGUGGGGGUUGGAAAGUUUCGGCGGUUGGGGAUGGACUCGCGGCUUAUCAGCUUGUGGGUGGGGUAGUGGCUUACCAAGGCUUUGACGGGUAGCCGGCCUGAGAGGGUGACCGGCCCCCUUGCUCCUGCGAUACGGCGCAGACUCCUACGUGAGGCAGCAGUGGGGAAUAUUGCACAACGGGCGGAAGCCUGAUGCAGCAACGCCGCGUGCGGGAUGACGGCCUUCGGGUUGUAAACCGCUUUCGCCUGUGACGAAGCGUGAGUGACGGUAAUGGGUAAAGAAGCACCGGCUAACUACGUG